rnacentral:rRNA from 1 species
UACGAAGGGUGCUAGCGUUGUUCGGAAUCACUGGGCGUAAAGCGCGCGUAGGCGGCUUUGCAAGUCAGGGGUGAAAUCCCACGGCUCAACCGUGGAAUUGCCUCUGAAACUGCAAAGCUGGAGUACUGGAGGGGAUAGCGGAAUUCCUAAUGUAGAGGUGAAAUUCGUAGAUAUUAGGAGGAACACCGGUGGCGAAGGCGGCUAUCUGGACAGUAACUGACGCUGAAGCGCGAAAGCGUGGGGAUCAAACAGG